AACUAACAUCACUCAUAGGGAAAAAAACGAAAUUACUUUCCGAACAACCCAAUAGAAAUCCUCUACUGAUUUAAAUAUUCGAUAUCAUUACUAUAAAUAUCGAUAUUUUUGAGAAAUAUCGGAUAACAUAUAUUAUUCGUAAAAAUGUAUGAAAUAAUUUCAAGAGUCGAUAUUUUUCAUUAUUUUAGCAUUACCAAUAUAUAGUAUAAUUAUGAGACUCAUUAAGUACAUACGCUGACAUCAUAUGGUGGUAGAGAGUUAUGUUAAUAAUCUGAGCUUGAGAAAAUUCAAAGGAUGGCCUGUCAGAGCAGCAUAGGAGCUGAGAACUAUUGCUCUUCUGUUUAUGAAAUAUUUUCUGGCAUUUCCCUUUAAAUCUAAAUGUCGAGGCUAGAGCCUAGGAUCAUUUUUUAAGUUUCGUUGUUUUGGAAGAAUUUUUGGACUUACGAACUGGAACAUCUAUCUUUUGAAUGGGAUAAGACCAAACGAUUUAGUGAUUCAGUUUUAUCAGACCCUAUUGUUUUAUCUAGUGUAGAAGAAUGCAGGGUAAAUUUGGGUACAGUGUCAAGGAUGGAAUGGUCUGGUAUUCAGAUGGUUUUAAAACCACUAAUAGUGUAUGUACAGGGAUUUAUUGCCCAUGCGCCAGUACAGACGAUGAUGAAAAAUUCUUUUUCCCUUGGAAGGUUUGCCACUGUCUUCAGGUAGAAAUCCAUUCUAUUUCUGCAUGAUUGUCAAAAUAAUUAUUAACAGAGGAUAUGUUAAUAAACAUAAUUAUAAUUUAUCAGAUAAACAACUUGCAUAAAAAGCACUAGAUGGUUCUAAUCUUACAUGGAAGAUAUGAUCUUCUAUGGUUGCAUUUUCAUGCACUUAAAAAUCUAUUUACAGUCCCAUUGAAGAAGAAUUUAUCUUUUGUGUGUAUGAUGAGGCUUCCUAAGAGAUUAUCCUCUUAUAAAAGCACAAGAGAUCACUGGAUGAUCACGGUGCUAGUGCUAAUUGAAGAAUCCUCAUUUUAUUAUUGCUAAUUAUUUCAAAUAAUUUGCAAUACAUAUAUAAUAUAGUUAAAAUCUAAGCACUGACAGGAGUAGGUUAAUCAUUAAAGAAGUAGAUUAAUCGGCGCUUAGAUUUUAACUAUAUUAUCUUGGUAGAGCAGUUAUACGUUAUAAUAGUAUUACUUAUAUUAGUGUAUCUCCUGGCUGGCUUCGGUAUAUCAUUGGUACUUCCAAUCAGACGAGAGAUCAAUCACAGAUGCGAGUUCAAUUUCCUGGUCACACAUUUCAGAAUUUUUCAGAACAGCAGGCAUGGUAUAUCGAGCCGCAUCUUUCAUCUGUAGCUGAUUCCAUCAGAAAUAUGGAAGACAUACACUAAACACAUGACGUACACUAACAUGAUCUCCAGCUUAGUAUUCAGCAGUAAGAAAGUCGGUCAUAAAUCAUUGAAAGAAAUAUGCAUAUAUAUUUCUUUCAUGGAUUUAUGCCGACUUCCUUAUUGUUUUAUAUUGUGUGGGAGAAC
rnacentral:lncRNA from 1 species